CAAAACUAUUGGCCCAGGCCCAACUAGGAGUACCGGUUGUUAAUUAGGGUUUGAGGAGGGUUUUGUCUGCUCCUUCCCUCUAUAUAUACUUCCAUCACUCCAGCACUGCGCACAAGCAACAUUCAUUGGGGAAUACAGAAGCGGCAGCUGAAAGCUCUCUUUUGUUAUGGUUUGGUAAGUGUAGUAUAGUUGUUGGGUUUGUUUUUAAUAUAUGAGAUUGCCCCUCCUUUCGGCUGCAAGUGCUGAGAUCUAUGGAUCGAUUUCUUGACGGCUUUGUUCUGGGGGCAUAUAAAAAAACAAAAUCCAGAGUUUUGGGGUUACUGCUCAUAUUUGCAUUUCUCAGUGCUUUUUAUGGUUCCCUUCCUCUGGUACAUAAUUUCUACUAACCUUAACUCCGCUCUGCUUUUCUUUUUUUUAUUUAAAAAGAAAGUCCCAAAAUUUUUAACUGCAGCUCGAGAAUCGUAAUAUAUCAAUUGGAUUAUAGAGAUAACUGUGAAUUGAUAAUAAAAGUAAAUAAAUUGAAAAUUGAUUAUUUUUUAAAUCUACAAAAUUUGGUCAUCAAUGGAUUGUAAAUCUAUCAAUCUAACCAUCACCAGAGAGAAAUAUAUAAACAUGACCAAUGGGAGGAUAUUUCUAAUUUAAAAUUAAAAAAGAAAAUGAUUUUGAUUAAUAGAUAAUGAUAAAGAUAAUUAGUUUGAAAGAUAGUGAUAGAUUUUAAAGAUGAUAUGGGAAUUUAAAAUUUGAUCUCAAACUUAUCACAAGUUUGAUGCCUACUCCUCCUUUUCAGCACUAAUUAAUAUCCCCCUUUGUAUCACUUGCUGUGUUCCACCCUGCAAUUGAAACAAAUCAAACAACAUGUCAGUGUCUUUGGAAGCUCUAACGAUGUCUAAUGCAAAUUAUCUAGACUGUAACAUUGAUUCUGUAGCGUGGGAGAGCAAUGAUGAAGAUGGAAAUGCCACCGCAUUUACUAGCCGAAACCUAUAACAAGAAUGAUGGCUAUUUUCAUUUUUGUUACUCUAAUUUCUUCUCGAAUGUCGGCAACAGAUUCAAAAUCAUAUGUAUGGGGACGCUUCAGACCUAUCGGAAUGUUGAUGGUGGAAGCAAUUAGAAGGCUUGUCAUGGUGGUGAAAAUGGUUACGUUAAAGAGGUAGAGGAGCAAAGGAGUAUUCACUAAUAUUAA
rnacentral:misc_RNA from 1 species